GACGAACGCUGGCGGCGUGCCUAAUACAUGCAAGUUGAGCGCUGAAGGUUGGUACUUGUACCGACUGGAUGAGCAGCGAACGGGUGAGUAACGCGUGGGGAAUCUGCCUUUGAGCGGGGGACAACAUUUGGAAACGAAUGCUAAUACCGCAUAAAAACUUUAAACACAAGUUUUAAGUUUGAAAGAUGCAAUUGCAUCACUCAAAGAUGAUCCCGCGUUGUAUUAGCUAGUUGGUGAGGUAAAGGCUCACCAAGGCGAUGAUACAUAGCCGACCUGAGAGGGUGAUCGGCCACAUUGGGACUGAGACACGGCCCAAACUCCUACGGGAGGCAGCAGUAGGGAAUCUUCGGCAAUGGACGAAAGUCUGACCGAGCAACGCCGCGUGAGUGAAGAAGGUUUUCGGAUCGUAAAACUCUGUUGGUAGAGAAGAACGUUGGUGAGAGUGGAAAGCUCAUCAAGUGACGGUAACUACCCAGAAAGGGACGGCUAACUACGUGCCAGCCGCCGCCGUAA
rnacentral:rRNA from 1 species